rnacentral:rRNA from 1 species
GAUGAACGCUGGCGGCGUGCCUAAUACAUGCAAGUCGAGCGAACAGACGAGGAGCUUGCUCCUCUGACGUUAGCGGCGGACGGGUGAGUAACACGUGGAUCACCUACCUAUAAGACUGGGAUAACUUCGGGAAACAGGAGCUAAUACUAGAUAAUAUAUUGAACCGCAUGGUGCAAUAGUGAAAGACGGCUUUGCUGUCACUUUUAGAUGGAUCCGCGUCGCAUUAGCUAGUUGGUAAGGUAACGGCUUACCAAGGCAACGAUGCGUAGCCGACCUGAGAGGGUGAUCGGCCACACUGGAACUGAGACACGGUCCAGACUCCUACGGGAGGCAGCAGUAGGGAAUCUUCCGCAAUGGGCGCAAGCCUGACGGAGCAACGCCGCGUGAGUGAUGAAGGUCUUCGGAUCGUAAAACUCUGUUAUUAGGGAAGAACAAAUGUGUAAGUAACUAUGCACGUCUUGACGGUACCUAAUCAGAAAGCCACGGCUAACUACGUG